CCUAGCCCUGACGGGCUGGCUAACUUCUGGCGCACCUAUGGUGCU
rnacentral:sRNA from 1 species